UACAGAGGUCUCAAGCGUUGUUCGGAUUCAUUGGGCGUAAAGGGUGCGUAGGCGGCGCGGUAAGUCGGGUGUGAAAUUUUCGAGGCUUAAUUUCGAAAACUGCAUUCGAUACUGCCGUGCUAGAGGACUGGAGAGGAGACUGGAAUUUUACGGUGUAGCGGUGAAAUGCGUAGAUAUCGUAAGGAAGACCAGUGGCGAAGGCGGG
rnacentral:rRNA from 1 species